rnacentral:tRNA from 1 species
CUCUAUGUAGCUGAGUCUAUUAGCGCCGGCCUUUUAAGCCGGAGACGGGCAGUUAGCCCCCUAGAAA